UGCGCAGGCGGCCUGAUAAGUCAGGGGUGAAAUAUGUCGGCUCAACCGGCAAACUGCCCCUGAAACUGCCAGGCUUGAGUCCGGGAGAGGAUGGUGGAAUUCCUGGUGUAGCGGUGAAAUGCGUAAAUAUCAGGAGGAACACCGAUGGCGAAGGCAGCCAUCUGGCCCGGUACUGACGCUCAGGCACGAAAGCUAGGGGAGCGAACAGGAUUAGAUACCCUGGUAGUCC
rnacentral:rRNA from 1 species